GAUGAACGCUGGCGGCGUGCUUAACACAUGCAAGUCGAACGGAAAGGCCCAAGCUUGCUUGGGUACUCGAGUGGCGAACGGGUGAGUAACACGUGGGUGAUCUGCCCUGCACUUCGGGAUAAGCCUGGGAAACUGGGGCUAAUACCGGAUAGGACGUUUUGUUGCAUGUCGUUGUGGAGAGUUUUUUCGGUGUGGGGUGAGCUCGCGGCCUAUCAGCUUUUUGUUGGGGUGUUGGCGUAGCAAGGCGUCGACGGGGAACCGGCCCGAGAGGGUGUACGGCCACAUUGGGAGCGAGAGACAGGCCAGAGUCGUACAGGAGGCAGAAAGGGGGAAAAUUGGACAAUGGGAGCAAGCGUGAGGUAGCGAGGCCGCGGGGGGGAUGAAGGCUUUUGGGGUGUAAACUCCUUUCGCUAGGGACGAGGCGUUUUUGUGACGGUACCUGGUGAAGAAGCACCGGCUAACUACGUG
rnacentral:rRNA from 1 species